GACGAACGCUGGCGGCGUGCCUAAUACAUGCAAGUUGAGCGAUGAAGAUUGGUGCUUGCCCCAAUUUGAAGAGCAGCGAGCGGGUGAGUAACGCGUGGGGAAUCUGCCUUUGAGCGGGGGACAACAUUUGGAAACGAAUGCUAAUACCGCAUAACAACUUUAAACAUAAGUUUUAAGUUUGAAAGAUGCAAUUGCAUCACUCAAAGAUGAUCCCGCGUUGUAUUAGCUAGUUGGUGAGGUAAAGGCUCACCAAGGCGAUGAUACAUAGCCGACCUGAGAGGGUGAUCGGCCACAUUGGGACUGAGACACGGCCCAAACUCCUACGGGAGGCAGCAGUAGGGAAUCUUCGGCAAUGGACGAAAGUCUGACCGAGCAACGCCGCGUGAGUGAAGAAGGUUUUCGGAUCGUAAAACUCUGUUGGUAGAGAAGAACGUUGGUGAGAGUGGAAAGCUCAUCAAGUGACGGUAACUACCCAGAAAGGGACGGCUAACUACGUG
rnacentral:rRNA from 1 species